rnacentral:lncRNA from 1 species
UAAUACAUCGAACAUAGUGGUAUCAGGUAAUCUUAUCAUUGGGUGUUCAGAUGUGUAUGCUUUGAUGGACCCCGGUGCUUCUCAUUCUUUUAUUGCUUCGAGAGCCAUAGAGAGAUUGGGUUUGAUCAGUUCUGAGUUAGAGUAUCCUCUCUGGGUUAGUGGACCCAAAUGCGACCCAUCAGUGGCAGUGUCAGUCUGUCA